rnacentral:lncRNA from 1 species
AAGAAAUGUAGAGUCCUUGAAUAGAAAUCAAUAACUCAAAAAAAUUAUAUGAAUAAAGGAAAAGUACAAAGAAUAUUUCAAAGCAAACUAUAAAUAUGCAUCAUAACAGUAUGGUUGAAAUUCAGUGGUGGGUGAACCCUAACAAUGGGUGGAUGAAAGCCCUUCAAAACAUGGUUGGGAUGCAUGCCUUUGUUUAGGUCACCUACCGAAGUAAUGUUACAGCCAAUCCAUGCAUGAUUAUACUGUCCCUGCCAAUGUGGUAAUGGGAAUCCAGAUUCCUAAAUGGUAUUUAUUCUGUUAAACACUGUGCAUGCAAUUAGGAU